GGUCAGGUAGCUCAGUGGUAAGAGCAUCAGUGAUCAAUGCUGAGGUCCCAGGUUCAAAUCCUGGCCUAGCCA